rnacentral:rRNA from 1 species
ACAAAUGACUCUCGGCAACGGAUAUCUCGGCUCACGCAUCGAUGAAGAACGCAGCAAAAUGCGAUACUUGGUGUGAAUUGCAGAAUCCCGUGAACCAUCGAGUUUUUGAACGCAAGUUGCGCCCGAAGCCAUUCGGUUGAGGGCACGUCUGCCUGGGCGUCAC